rnacentral:lncRNA from 10 species
GACACCACGGGGUUGUGUGGCUACACACAGAAGCCUGGGGCAACAGCAAGACGGCAGCAGCCAUGGCGAGGCAGAAGAGUCAACGCCAGCCCAGGAAGCAUCAGGAAGUCCACAUCAGGGGAGUGAGAUGGACAGAAAGAGAGGGACUCAGCUGGUGCAACCCUUCCCCUUUCCUCUUUCUCCUUGCUUUGAACAUGGAUCUAAUGGCAGGAGCUAAGGCAGCCAUCUUGUGACCAUGAGGAAAGAGACUGACAGCAGUUUCAGCCGGGCAUGCCUCAGCCAUUGAACAGCACCUUAGAUUUCUCACGUGAGAAAAAUAAAUUCCUGUUUGUUUAAAUCACUGAAGUAGUUUUUUGGUUAUUUUUUUGACUGAAAACAACCUUAACUGUACCUUAGUCUAUAGUCAACCUGGCCACCAUGAUGACCCUCCUAACACAUAGAUAUAGGCAUGAUGCGCUCCCUCUUCUGCUCAAAAUCCUUCCUUUGGAAGAUGUCUUUGUCCUCUAUCAGACUGCAAGGAUACUCCCUGCUUGUAGAAGGUAUAGAGAAGCAAUUCCUAGCAUUCACAGCUAGGUACAACACUUUGGGGAAAUAAUUGGCAAUAGCUUUGCAACUUAAGGAUGCUCAUAACCUUCUUGCCACUAACCCCAUG